rnacentral:rRNA from 1 species
UUUAGAGUUUGAUUCUGGGUUCAGGAGAAACGCUGGCGGCGUCCCUAACACAUGCAAGUCGAGCGAAGUGUUUAGGACGGAUUCCUUCGGGAUGAAGACCUAAACAUCUUAGCGCGGGAUGGGUGAGUAACGCGUGAGAAACCUGCCUUUCACAAGGGAAUAGCCUCGGGAAACUGGGAUUAAUACCCUAUGAUACAACUUUUUCGCAUGAGAGAGUUGUUAAAGCGUAAAGCGGUGAAAGAUGGUCUCGCGUCCCAUUAGUUAGUUGGUGAGGUAAUGGCUCACCAAGACAACGAUGGGUAACCGGCCUGAGAGGGUGAACGGUCACACUGGAACUGAGACACGGUCCAGACUCCUACGGGAGGCAGCAGUGGGGAAUAUUGCACAAUGGAGGAAACUCUGAUGCAGCGACGUCGCGUGAACGAUGAAGGUUUUCGGAUCGUAAAGUUCUGUCCUUGGGGACGAUAAUGACGGUACCCAAGGAGGAAGCCCCGGCUAACUACGUGCCAGCAGCCGCGGUAAUACGUAGGGGGCAAGCGUUGUCCGGAUUUAUUGGGCGUAAAGGGUUCGCAGGUGGCCUUUUAAGUCAGAUGUGAAAGAUCACAGCUCAACUGUGGUAAGCAUUUGAAACUGAAAGGCUUGAGUUAAGGAGAGGAAAGUGGAAUUCCUAGUGUAGCGGUGAAAUGCGUAGAUAUUAGGAGGAAUACCAGUGGCGAAGGCGACUUUCUGGACUUAUACUGACACUGAGGAACGAAAGCAUGGGGAGCAAACAGGAUUAGAUACCCUGGUAGUCCAUGCCGUAAACGAUGAGUGCUAGGUGUCGGGGGUCAAACCUCGGUGCCGGAGCUAACGCAU